rnacentral:sRNA from 1 species
AUCAGUAAACAAUAUAUAAGUAUUAUUAUCCACUCAAUAGUUGAACAGAAAAAUAAUGUUUUACAAUCUAUUCACAUCUAAUUCACAAGUAUAACAGAUUAUUAUUGUAAAUAACUACAAUGGCUUCCCCGGAUAAAAGUGACCUCAUCAAUGCCAUCAAGAUGACGAGUAAUUUAAUUACACAUGAUCACCAAUCCUGCAGAUAUACAUGAUUUACUUUUAUUUUUGACCUAAGUACCUUGUUAAUCAGUGAAUUUGCUCCCCCGGUAUAAUGGCAAAAGUACAAAUUACAAGGUUUUUAGGAGAUCACCAAGCUUAUCUAAUAUGAAUGGACAUAUAUGUUUAUAUAUAUAUAUAUGUGGAGGUGCUGAUUCCAAUGAUGAGUGGCUAGCAGCCAAUGGGAUCCUCAGAAGACUUUGAAAAAGGGAAAGAGAGAGCACUUAUUGGAUAUUUGAAAAAUCAAGAAAGGGAAAGGAUGAAACAUCGUUCAUCAACUCCUCCAAGUCCCACUCUCCCAUGGUGCUCUCCACUUUCAGGUUAUGGUCAGAAGUAGUGCUAACACUCUCUAGAGGAGGAACAUACAUAUCCCCUUCUGCCCCAAUAUUUACACUCCCAAAUACUCCUCCAUUUUCCAAAUAUAAACCUUUGUGAUCAACUCCACUUUGCGUUGAGAAGCAUGGCCCUGUAGCAUUGAAGAAUCCACCGGAAACUGGCACGUUUAGUCCAUGAUCUAGCAUAGGCAACCUGUCAAUAAUGGAAUUGAGAACUGUGGCAUGCAUGGAUGGUGAUGGAGAUGAUGAUGAAUUGAACAUAGGCAUAAAAUCAGCAUGUUGAUCUUGAUGGGUAUUAGAAGUAGUAAACCCUGCCAUGUUAAGGUCUUUGUUAGGCUCAUACGAGGACUCGCUUCCGUUUGGUGAGGUGUUGGAUGAGAUGUUCUUCAGUCUUUUCUUUAUUGUUGAAUUCCAAAAAUUCUUAAUUUCAUUGUCAGUUCUCCCAGGCAAGCGCGCCGCUAUUUGAGACCAUCUUUAAAAAGUGGAACAAAAUGAAUAUUUGUCAGGUUAAUACAUGGCACAAACUAAUUGUGUUUGGUGGCUGUGUCCAUACUAAAAACAGUGCAUGCUUUCAUGGAGGCUAAUGUAUAUGUAGUCUUUUGUUAAGUUGAUUCAAAUUAUAGAGUGCCUUCAACUCGAAGUCCACAUAUAGAUUUAUGUUAUGUUCAUAUGUCCUUUUGUCAUCUACAAGGAGCUGCCUAGACUUAUAAAUAUGUAUGUAUAUUAUAUUUAUGCAUGUUUUGUGCAUGUAUUUUUUAACUUUGAAUACUGGUGCCAUUUCUUAGACAAGGGGAAGUAGAUUUUAGCAACCAGAGACUUAAUGAAAACAUUUUAAAAUCUUGUCGAUCAUAUUGUAAAGGCUAGGUAUCUUAGAAUUGCUACUGUUUCAAAUAGUAAGUUUGGAAUGGUAUAUAUGCAUAUGUGUGAACUUUCUUGCAUACUUUUAGAUACAGCCAUAAAGGCAAUUUUUUUAUAGGAGAUUUUGGCACAUGGCAUUUGAUUAUUCUUCAUAAAUUUUCAUUUAUAUUGACCCCAUCCAAUGGCUGCACCAAGUAAAUAAUUUUGAAACAUUAAUCAUGUCUCUAUCGUGCUUUCCACCUUUCCAAUAAAGACAAUAUAGCUAAAGUUAGAAGGAGCUAGUGGGUGUAACAUGUCAAACAUUGAUUUGCUUGAUAAAUAUUUGAGACGUAUGCGUACAUAUACACGCUGGUAUAAGUAUGUUUGGAUUCAGAAAUACAUAAUACACGUACAAAAAGUACUACAGAAGUUCUUUAAGAUCAUAUAUAUAGAAUCAAGUUUAAAAUGCAUUAUGGCAUAUUUCAGUUAAUAACAGCACUUGGUAAUUCUAAUGAUAUAUACUUUGAUCAGUUCAAAUUAAACAUGGCAUAGAAAAGAAGGAAGAGUAGGUGAACCUGUUUCCGAGAAGGGCAUGCAAAUGGACGAUGAGUUCCUCUUCUUGUGGAGAGAAUGCACCUCGUUUGAGAUCAGGCCUCAAGUAAUUGAUCCAUCGAAGGCGACAACUUUUGCCACACCUUUGAAGGCCAGCAUUUCUGGCUACAUCGCUCCAACAACCUUGUCCACUGUUUAGCAUGUAGUUCAUGAGCUUGUCAUCUUCUUCAGGUGACCACAAGCCCUUUCGAAGCUUGUUAUUAAUGUUGGAGCUGUUUUUUGCAGACACCUCGGGCUUCCUCAUUGUGCACUACUGUAUGAUCCGGACCCCAGAAGCAGUGUUCCACUGAUGAGCAAUUUGC